AUGGCCUCCGACGAUGAGCGCCUCCGUGCCCUGAAGGCGUUCGACGACACCAAAGCCGGCGUCAAAGGACUCGUCGACGCCGGCGUGACCACCGUCCCGUCCAUCUUCCACCACCCGCCGGAGUCCUUUUCCCUGGGCAACAGCACGCCGACCCAUGGCAUCACCAUCCCGCUCAUCGACCUCGCGGCUGGCGAGCGAGCCGAGCUGGUCACCGCGGUGAGGACGGCCGCGGAGACGGUGGGCUUCUUCCGGGUAGUGAACCACGGCGUGCGGGAUGACCUCCUUGCCGAGAUGCUCGCGUCCGUGCGCCGCUUCCACGAGUCGCCGGCAGAGGCAAAGCGGCCGUACUACAGCCGGGAUCAACGCCGGCGCGUCCAGUUCAACUCCAACUUCGACCUGUUCACAUCACCGGCGGCCAACUGGCGCGACACCAUGUUUCUCGAGCUGCCGCUGCCGCCGGAGGAGAUCCCGGUGGCGUGCAGGGCCGUCGUGCUGGAGUACGCUCGGCAGGUGCAGCGGCUAGGCCGCGCUCUGUUUGAGCUGCUGUCGGAGGCGCUGGGCUUGCACCCGAGGUUCCUGGAGGAGGAGACGAUGUGCCUGGACCGGCUGAGCAUGGGCGGCCACUACUACCCGGCGUGCCCAGAGCCGCACCUGACGCUAGGCACCACUAGGCACUCCGACCUCAGCUUCCUCACCGUGCUCCUCCAGGACGCCGUCGGCGGUCUCCAGGUGCUCGUGGACGACGAUGACGGCAAGAAGAGAACGUCGUGGGUGGACGUGCCGGCGGUGACGGGGGCGCUGGUGGUCAACGUGGGUGACCACCUGCAGCUCAUGUCCAACGGCAGGUUCAAGAGCGUGGAGCACCGCGUGGUGGCUAACAGCGUGGGGCCCAGGGUGUCGGUGGCGUGCUUCAUUAGGCCGUGCCCGUCGUCGACGAGAGUUCUCGCGCCGAUCGUCACCGGCUGCGAGAUGGCCCUGUGA
rnacentral:rRNA from 1 species